rnacentral:rRNA from 1 species
UCCAGACUCCUACGGGAGGCAGCAGUGAGGAAUAUUGGUCAAUGGGCGCGAGCCUGAACCAGCCAAGUCGCGUGAGGGAAGACGGUCCUAUGGAUUGUAAACCUCUUUUGUCGGGGAGCAAAAGACGCCACGCGUGGCGUUCCGAGAGUACCCGAAGAAUAAGCAUCGGCUAACUCCGUGCCAGCAGCCGCGGUAAUACGGAGGAUGCGAGCGUUAUCCGGAUUUAUUGGGUUUAAAGGGUGCGUAGGUGGUUAAUUAAGUCAGCGGUGAAAGUUUGUGGCUCAACCAUAAAAUUGCCGUUGAAACUGGUUGACUUGAGUAUAUUUGAGGUAGGCGGAAUGCGUGGUGUAGCGGUGAAAUGCAUAGAUAUCACGCAGAACUCCGAUUGCGAAGGCAGCAUACCGGCGCCCAACUGACGUUGAAGCACGAAAGCGUGGGUAUCGAACAGGAUUAGAUACCCCUGUA